ACUAAAAAUUGUUUUAACACUGAUAAUUAGAUCUAAAAUGUUUAAUACAAUCAAGAAUUCAACAGUUCAUGAACUAAAUUCAUGUUUAGAACCAUGGAAAGCAUUAUCACUGAGUGUCUUCUACAUCUCAUUAUACACAGUUUCCCUUCUAUUCUUCAUCAUUAUCUUCAUAGUUACCAUAGUACUAGCUUCCAGAACCCGAGGAAGUAUAAGAGAAGACCGGUCGUGGAUUAUAAACCUGGAAAAGAAGAAUUCAAUGAG